UACAGAGGGUGCUAGCGUUGUUCGGAAUUACUGGGCGUAAAGGGCGCGUAGGCGGCUUUAUAAGUCAGAUGUGAAAUCCCGGGGCUUAACUCCGGACGUGCAUUUGAAACUGUGAGGCUAGAGUGCAGUAGAGGUUGGUGGAAUUCCCAGUGUAGAGGUGAAAUUCGUAGAUAUUGGGAGGAACACCGGUGGCGAAGGCGGCCAACUGGGCUGCAACUGACGCUGAGGCGCGAAGGCGUGGGGAUCAAACAGG
rnacentral:rRNA from 1 species